GACGAACGCUGGCGGCGUGCUUAACACAUGCAAGUCGAACGGAAAGGCCCUGCUUUUGUGGGGUGCUCGAGUGGCGAACGGGUGAGUAACACGUGAGUAACCUGCCCUUGACUUUGGGAUAACUUCAGGAAACUGGGGCUAAUACCGGAUAGGAGCUCCUGCUGCAUGGUGGGGGUUGGAAAGUUUCGGCGGUUGGGGAUGGACUCGCGGCUUAUCAGCUUGUUGGUGGGGUAGUGGCUUACCAAGGCUUUGACGGGUAGCCGGCCUGAGAGGGUGACCGGCCCCAUGGGGACUGAGAUACGGCCCAGACUCCUACGGGAGGCAGAAGUGGGGAAUAUUGCACAAUGGGCGGAAGCCUGAUGCAGCAACGCCGCGGGCGGGAUGAGGGCCUUCGGGUUGUAAACCGCUUUCGCCUGUGACGAAGCGUGAGUGACGGUAAUGGGUGAAGAAGCACCGGCUAACUACGUG
rnacentral:rRNA from 1 species